GAUCCUGGCUCAGGAUGAACGCUAGCUACAGGCUUAACACAUGCAAGUAGAGGGGCAGCAUCAUCAAAGCUUGCUUUGAUGGAUGGCGACCGGCGCACGGGUGAGUAACACGUAUCCAACCUGCCGACAACACUGGGAUAGCCUUUCGAAAGAAAGAUUAAUACCGGAUGGCAUAAUUAUUCCGCAUGGGAUAAUUAUUAAAGAAUUUCGGGUGUCGAUGGGGAUGCGUUCCAUUAGG
rnacentral:rRNA from 1 species